UACGUAGGGAGCAAGCGUUGUCCGGAAUCAUUGGGCGUAAAGCGCGCGUAGGUGGCCUCAUAAGUCCGCUGUGAAAGUCAAAGGCUCAACCUUUGAAAGCCGGUGGAUACUGUGGGGCUAGAGUACGGAAGAGGCGAGUGGAAUUCCUGGUGUAGCGGUGGAAUGCGCAGAUAUCAGGAGGAACACCAAUAGCGAAGGCAGCUCGCUGGGACGUUACUGACACUGAGGCGCGAAAGCUAGGGGAGCAAACGGG
rnacentral:rRNA from 1 species